ACACCUCGCUCCAUGCUGGAAGCAAUAAGCACAAAGCUUUUAAAGACAUUCUGACUGGACUAAUUGAGGUCCACUCGCCAAGGCUGAGGAUGUGUAACCCUUAAACGGUCUUCAUUUUCAAAGGAAAUAUCAGCUGCCUUGGAAUAUCAGAGGAACCCGUCAUGACCUGGAGCAAACCGAGGAGCUUCCCUUCUAUUUCUGGACUGUUUAAGAAUAGUCAACUCACCACCGUGCCUACUCAGUAAAUGAAUCCACUUGGAAACUU
rnacentral:lncRNA from 1 species